CAGUACCAUGAAUUAAUUGAAAUAAAAGUUGUACAGACCACCAGAGAUAAAUAAAUUGCUAUUGAAUUACCCCUUGAAAUCAGUAUUUGAAUCGAGAUUUGAAUUUGAGUAACUGAGUAGCGUAGAACUCACUGAGCUCCCUUGCCACACACCGCAGACCACAAACUAAAUGAGUUCCUGAGAGAUCUCUGGCGCCAAAUUAGAAACCUUUAGCCAAGCGACCAUGUGAUGAUCUACGGGCAUCGACCUGUCCAAGUUCUUUUCAAGUAUCGUUGACCCGACCUGCCUUUGAAUAUCUUCGGGUGGGCAAUGAAUUGGAAGCUCGGAUCAACUUUGGGGAAAGGGGAUGCUUUCUCCCGACAAUUCAGGAUUUUGGUGUGCGUGAAGGCGAAUUUUAGUUCUUCGCGAAAUUAACUUCGUUAAUUUCACGUAAUAUCCGGGGACGAAUAUUUUUAGAACUCGCGCUUUAUCUGAGGACCUUGAGACUUUACUCGAUCACUUCGUUCAGGUCCGCGGAAGAGUCGAGAACGGUCCGAGCAGUAAUUCGCGCCGUGGUGUGUUCAAGAAGUUAGUUUAGCUAGGCAGAUAGUGCAUAGUGCGAUUUUGGCGGUUUUCUGGUGCGAGCGUAGACUUGCGGAUAAAGCGAUUUGUGGCAAGUUGCGGAAGCCCGGCACACCACCACCCCCACGUUUUAAGAACGACCGUUUUCGUCCCGCCUUCCUGCUACGAAGACGUGUACCCGGCGGUACACGUGGCCGGAGAGGGCAGCGCACGUUAUUCCCGCGCCCUAGGCAGGGCAGUAGCAACGGGUCUGGCUUUGAGCCGGCCAUUUCCAUCAACGAGAGUGUCCCGAGUGGAAACCUACGUCCAAAAAGUUUUUGCGAUCGGAUUCGAUCCGGCGACGACCAGCGUGGCAAGCACGACCGAGUCCACUACACCACCGGCGGUGACGAUCGUCGGUGCGACGGCCGUACCCCGUCGAGAAGACCACAGAUCCCCGUGGGAGGCGCCGUUUGAGAACGGCCACAGCAGCAUAGUCGAGUAGGAGAUUCCCACCAGGAGUCAACGGGAGAGCGCGUGUUGCACGCGCGCAGAAUUGCACCGUAGCCGCAAAUGCCCCCACGAAGUACAGCGUACAAACUGUAAGUAGCAUGCAUGCUUUUCUUUUCCCAUGCGCAUGGUGAGAUC